rnacentral:rRNA from 1 species
UACGUAGGGGGCUAGCGUUGUCCGGAAUCAUUGGGCGUAAAGAGCGUGUAGGCGGCCCGGUAAGUCCGCUGUGAAAGUCGGGGGCUCAACCCUCGGAUGCCGGUGGAUACUGUCGGGCUCGAGUACGGAAGAGGCGAGUGGAAUUCCUGGUGUAGCGGUGGAAUGCGCAGAUAUCAGGAGGAACACCAAUAGCGAAGGCAGCUCGCUGGGACGGUACUGACGCUAAGGCGCGAAAGCGUGGGGAGCGAACAGG